UGGGGAAUUUUGGACAAUGGGCGAAAGCCUGAUCCAGCAAUGCCGCGUGUGUGAAGAAGGCCUUCGGGUUGUAAAGCACUUUUGUCCGGAAAGAAAUCCUUGGCUCUAAUACAGUCGGGGGAUGACGGUACCGGAAGAAUAAGCACCGGCUAACUACGUGCCAGCAGCCGCGGUAAUACGUAGGGUGCAAGCGUUAAUCGGAAUUACUGGGCGUAAAGCGUGCGCAGGCGGUUUGCUAAGACCGAUGUGAAAUCCCCGGGCUCAACCUGGGAACUGCAUUGGUGACUGGCAGGCUAGAGUAUGGCAGAGGGGGGUAGAAUUCCACGUGUAGCAGUGAAAUGCGUAGAGAUGUGGAGGAAUACCGAUGGCGAAGGCAGCCCCCUGGCAAGUACUGACGCUCAUGCACGAAAGCGUGGGGAGCAAACAGGAUUAGAUACCCUGGUAGUCCACGCCCUAAANGAUGUCAACUAGUUGUUGGGGAUUCAUUUCCUUAGUAACGUAGCUAACGCGUGAAGUUGACCGCCUGGGGAGUACGGUCGCAAGAUUAAAACUUAAAUGAAUUGAC
rnacentral:rRNA from 1 species